UUCAAUGACCAGUGCCUGCUAGUACACUUAAGAAGAGUACGUCGUCACUUCUCUCAUGGUCUGAAUCUCCUCUCCUUCAAAAAGUGAGGGUCUUGCCACUUGCUCCUGAAGGCAGCAGGGCGACAUUGCAAGGGGGAAGGAAAGCAACUGAACCCGACACGUCCUCAGGCUUCAGUCACUUGUUUUGGAAGUGGGGACUGUGAGGUGUUAGUGGUGGGACGUGGAGCAGUCGAGAAAGCCAAGGUUUUAAUUGUUGCUCCUGAACCCGUGGCUCUUUUUGCUCCCGCAGAACUCACUCACCGUCGUGGUGCCUCAGUGUCCAAGCUGAACCCCAGGGCUGGCAGCGCUCGCAGGGGACUGCAAAGCCCCUUCCACCGAGCGCAAUGCUCGGUGGCCCUCGGAGCAGCGAGUGCACAUCUGGUUCGAUGUGCGUCAAGGUUUAGCAGGAUGUGUCUUGCUUUCGGUGGGCAUCCUUCCAGAAAGAAGUUAAAAUGCAAACUGCAUGAAACGUGUUAUGUGACUGCAACAGACUACUACUAAUACUGACAUUCCACCAGGCAGAGGUAACACAGAUCAACUAAAGCACACUUUCCUUCCAACGUGCUGCUUAGCUGAAAUGGACCACCAAAAAUAGUGUCUACUUAAGGAUGGAGAUUUUUUCUUUCCCUGUAAAGUUAAAUGGACAUCACACCUGUCAUUCUGUGAAGUGGAAUCACUCCUGGAAGAUGGACUUGGCUGGCAGCCACCUCCUGACAGUGAGAGGCAGGUCUGAACAGCAAAGUUUGGAUCGAGAUCUGAACUUCUCUCACGUCCAAAUGUGCUUGGAUCCAGGACAUUGGCUGACACCCAUCUCCGCUACAUCUAUACUGUGAUUAUGUGUGAAUGGUCCUAUCACUUCACACUGCCGUCGAUGUAAUCACUUCCAUUUGGGCAUCCUUCUGAAAGAAAAUCUGCUGUCAUGAUGGCCAAUGUGUGAUGCUUUGCUGCAUGAAGAUUACCUCCUAGCCCCUACAAGACAUCAGUUUUUAUCUGAAAACAUGCAUGCUAGCUGACCUUUACUGAUGACAACUUCUGUAUUUACAGUUCUCACUAUUAAGGCAGCUUUAACUCCACAUUUCUGUGGGGGAUUCUUUCCCAGAUGCGUAUCAAAAUGCAAUAUACUUGGGAGACUUGUAUACAUGCAGUGGGCCUGAUUCUGCUGCUUCUUCCACUCACAUCUGUUAUAUGCUUGUGUAACCCCGUUGACUUCGGUGGAAUUGUUUCUGAUUGGAGUUAGAUGAAUACCAUAUUUUCCUACAUAUCACCCAUGGAUUAUCUGUAAAAACCAUGAUUCAUCAGCACUGCGGUUUAUACGCACAUGGAGAUUGCAUGGAGCAUUUAUACUUGGAUACCCUGUGCUGAGCUUCCACCAAAAAUGUCGUCUCAUUUUGUAAAAAAAUAUCCAGUGACUUUUCACCUCACAUACACUUCAGCUACUGUCAGAAGAAAAAUGCAAUAAAUAGUGCUAUGUGAAGAAAACAAAAUGAUUAUCCUUGCAACCUAAUAAGCAAUUACAAAGGGCAAAUUACUUGCACCCUCUGUAAUUUUUUGUCAUUAGAUAAUUAACAUCAGAGGUAUUAAUGAUCAUUUUAACAAAUUACCAUAUAAUUAUAAUGUGUUUCUUCAUUUAGUCAUACAUAUAGUACAAACCCUUCUAAGAUUUGUGUAUUAAUUGAAAAUACGUUAUUUAUUGGCUUAGCUGAGUAACAACCCACAGUGGUAACUAAACCUAUUAAGGAAAUGCUGGGCUGAUCAUAACUAGCUGUCAAUCUGUUGUUACCAGAGCAAUUCUUAGUGGAUGCAAGUGUCACUGACCAAACCCAAAUUAAGGAUCAAAUGAAAAAAUAUAAGAAGUCCUAGUAUUCACUAGGAUCAAAGACCUAGAAAUGCCACAUUUCUGACUCGUGUUAACUUCAUCAGGAAUGAAAGCUAAGAGUGGAACAAAUGCACGCGUGAGUUUACAGGGCCAGCACAUGCUGGUGGCAAUGCUGCUUCUUAGAUUAAUUAAUUUCAUAACAUUUCCAUAAUAGAGUUUUACUUAGUGUACUUUUCAUAAUCUAAUUUUAGUUCAAUUGCUUUGCACAAUCUGCUCAAAAUGUGUUUACGAUUCAGAAUUGUCAGAGUCCCCUUUUCAUUUUGUGCUUUGCUGCCUUUAUAAAAUCUGCCUAAAUUGGUGAAAUAAAUUAGAGGAAUGCUGCCAAAAACAUUUUUCCUACUAUCCUAACAUUUAAACUACUGCACUUGGGCCAGGUUUGCAGCACUUCCUGUGAAUCGUCUCCUAGAGGUAUGCGGACACGAGCGUGGCUGGAAGAGUGAACUUCAGGAGAAUGCUGCCGAUUUUUGGGAAGAGGAUUUUUGGAUUUGUUAUUAUGAGGAGGGGGGCUGGAAAGCUGAUUCCAAAUUACCCGUUUCCAAUUUGGGAAUAGAUAUGGCCCAUGUGACCUAAGCAUCUUGUCAAGACAGCUUGAAUUUGAAAUUGUGAAUAUGCAUGUGGAUGAGCUGCAGACCCAAAAUGAUUCACACAAUGAUAUGGCAUAUCUUUCUGAAUAGGCUGAAAUUCACCCCUGGGCAAAAGACCGGGAGAAAGCUCUCAACAUGUGGCUCAAGCGAGAUUUAAGAAGCCUCACGGCUUCACAGUGACCCCCUUGAACAGGAUCAAUUGCACAUACAACAUAUAUAUUGAGAAAAUCAAGAUCCACUUGCUGACAAUUCAUGAAGGGGGAAACUGUUUGGAAUAAAUUAUUCAUUACAGAACUACUCAGCUUUGGCAAUAAAUACGAAGGUUGAAGGAGAAUGGGAGCUAUUCUAGCUGUAAUGGUGUUUUACAGCCAUUUUCAAAUCUAGAGGCUUUAAGUUGAUAACCAGUUGAUAAUAACCUGCCAUUUUCUUCAUUUAUGUGCCUCCUGCGGGACUCUGGCUGGAUUCUGCCUUCUGAGAACCCCCACGUUCACAGGAUUCGAUACUCAGAGGAAUGAGCAUGACUGGGAAGUCAGUUCGGAGCGGUGGAUGGAGCUACCUGUUUCUCUUCCAUUUCAGAAGAAAUACUCCAAAUGCGCUAAUGAGAGAGAGCGAAGGAUGUGUUUGAGGAAGGCAGGCCAACCCCGAGCGCUUAGUGGGCGACAGAUCCACAGCUUUGCCCUGCAUCUGCUCUCGGGUAGGCGGUGACUGUCACUCCAGGGCUUAAUGCUUUGCAAAUGGCAACAAGGGCUUGCACCCAGCCUUCUCCGUCCCGUGUGAAACACAACCGGGGCUCCAUCAGGUUGCAUUAGUUAGCAAAUGACUUUGUCUUUAUUUUCCCUCCAGUUCCUUCCCAUUCUCUCUUUUGGUAUCUCUCCUCUGCUCCAUGCUAUUUUUUCUUGCCACAUUUUAGUCUCUACUCUGCUGAUGAAUUAGUUUGUUGCUCAGGGAGAAAAUUGAUCUUCACUCUUACAGAAGUUGCAAGACAAGUUAUGCUUAGUUCAGGCUGUGGUAUUUUGCUCACCCAUGCUAGGAUAAGAAAUAGGUGGUACUAAAUAUAUAGAAUUGAACUGCAGCUGCAGAAUCUAAACUAGAGACGCUCACUGAUAUUUACAUUUAAGGCCAUUCCCUUUAGCUCUUAAAACCACUGUACAUUUUUAAUAAUGUUUUAUCGGAGAGGUUUUCUUUGUGGAAAGAUUAAAGUGAGACAGGAUGGGUGUCUAGUGACUC